GCCUAACAGUAACUUGUUUUUACCUAUCCUUCAGGAUGCACAGGAGACUCCUGCCAAGAAAACUAUGAUUCCAACAGCAUUUUCUCAGGCUCAGCAGCUUGCUGAAAAGGAAAAUGUGACGCUACACAACGUGGAAACUUCUCCGAUAGCCUUGUGAAAGAGACAGUCGUCCUUGUAGAUUUUGCUACUACUAAUACAUGUACUACAUGUUUAUGUACAACACAUUUAUAUCAUUUACUGAGAUUUCUGUCAGACAAAUGUGUCAGACAAAAAUUAUUAGCAACAGUCAAAUAACUUCACAUAACUUUGUUGCCUAAAUCCAAAAGAUGCCAAAGUUUCAUCUGCCAGUAUGAUUGAGAAGUAAUGGUUAUCAUUAAUUUACACAUAUCAGAACAUAUGUAUUUUCCAAUAGCUAAUAAUAGUAAGUUUGAAAUGUUUCACAUGCAUGCACUGCCUCAAUGUCUUAUAAAAACAAGAAGCACUCAGUCACUAUUUCAAGAUAGAGUUUUUGCAUUUGAUACCAACUAAGACUUGUAUACAGGAGGUUGUUGUCUUAUCUACCUUUUUAAUAAGCCUUGAAGUUCAUUUAUCUGUAUUUGUGGCUGGACAAUUGAAGAAACUCAUUAAGAGAUGUUGAUUGGUUCAUCCAAGUCAUUUGGAAGAACGUUACUUGAAUUAGGAGCUGAAUUGUUUUGUUUGUAUCUUUCUUUGGAUUUGGCAGCUGAACCUGAUUCAAGGGAUUUCUACUUGUGCAAUAAGUGAACAUCCUUCUAAAUAACAUGACAUAGAGAUUAAGGCUUUUCCAACUAUCAACAGCAUAAGUUAACAAAGCUUCGGUUUAAUUCAGUUGCAAAAAGAUUUCUCUGUACUCUGCAAAGAAACCUCAGAUAUACUCAAGUACAUGGUGAAAUUUAUUCUACCUUUAGAAAAACUAGACAGUUGCUUUCAUCACAUAGAUAAGAAUACUUUUCAUCACAUGCAUCCUUUUUUUAAUUUGAUCACCUUUUUAAAAGGAGAUGAUUAAGCAGGAAACUCGAAAAUUUCUGUUACAUUGAUAGAAUCUGUUGUAUAUUUCAUGCAGUCAUUAUUUUACUGUAGGCUUUUGGAAUAUGCUUAUUCCACCACAUAUAUGCAUGUGCAUGCAAAUAGAAUUUAGUUUGCAACAUUCUACUAUACUAGUAUAUAAAUGCUGAUAGUCUAAGACAUUGUUUUGAUGGCCAUUGGUGGUAGGGACUAUAGAUUACUUUUUCAAUCUGUUGGUAUUUGAAGUUUUAAUUAUCAGUUUAAAGAAACCGUUAGCCCAGCAGUGUGUAUACUGCAACUCAUUUGUAACAUUAUUACUUUGUAUUAUUAUUAUUAAUUCCUUUCUUGUAAAUUUGUAUCAUAUUAACCAUCAUUUUGUAAUAUUUAAAUUCCAAUACUAUUAUUGUUUAACCUGAUUUGAUGUAUUAUACCAAUACUACCUUGUUGCACUGCUGUUUUCAGUCAGUUUGACAAGCUUGUAUCUAAGUUGUGUAAGAAAAUGUGGUCAUAACCUGAA